AACGAACGCUGGCGGCAGGCCUAACACAUGCAAGUCGAGCGAGGACUUCGGUUCUAGCGGCGGACGGGUUAGUAACGCGUGGGAACGUACCCUUUUCUACGGAAUAGCCUCGGGAAACUGAGAGUAAUACCGUAUACGCCCUUAGGGGGAAAGAUUUAUCGGAGAAGGAUCGGCCCGCGUUAGAUUAGAUAGUUGGUGGGGUAAUGGCCUACCAAGUCUACGAUCUAUAGCUGGUUUGAGAGGAUGAUCAGCAACACUGGGACUGAGACACGGCCCAGACUCCUACGGGAGGCAGCAGUGGGGAAUCUUAGACAAUGGGCGCAAGCCUGAUCUAGCCAUGCCGCGUGAGUGAUGAAGGCCUUAGGGUCGUAAAGCUCUUUCGCCUGUGAAGAUAAUGACUGUAGCAGGUAAAGAAACCCUGGCUAACUCCGUGCCAGCAGCCGCGGUAAUACGGAGGGGGUUAGCGUUGUUCGGAAUUACUGGGCGUAAAGCGCGCGUAGGCGGACAUUUAAGUCAGAGGUGAAAUCCCAGGGCUCAACCCUGGAACUGCCUUUGAUACUGGGUGUCUUGAGUUCGAGAGAGGUGAGUGGAAUUCCGAGUGUAGAGGUGAAAUUCGUAGAUAUUCGGAGGAACACCAGUGGCGAAGGCGGCUCACUGGCUCGAUACUGACGCUGAGGUGCGAAAGUGUGGGGAGCAAACAGGAUUAGAUACCCUGGUAGUCCACACCGUAAACGAUGAAUGCCAGUCGUCGGGCAGUAUACUGUUCGGUGACACACCUAACGGAUUAAGCAUUCCGCCUGGGGAGUACGGUCGCAAGAUUA
rnacentral:rRNA from 1 species